rnacentral:tRNA from 4 species
CGGAGGUUCGAAUCCUUCCGUCCCAG